UCGAACCUGUCCUGCCGUGCCUCUGACUCAGACUGAGUUGAUGACGUCCUGCUCUGAAUAAUCACUUUGACUUUUCUUGGAGGAGCUGAUACCCUGACAUAUGAGUGUCUUCACACAUAUGUUGGCUUUCUCCAUACUGAGAUUCCACAGGCCUAAAUCUUUUAAUUAGAAUAAAUGGGGAAUAAUGCUGAAAGCAGUGGUCUACCAGUGACGUAGUUGAAUUAUUGAUUUCAUUGGCCUAAUUUCGUCUUCUCUGAGAGCAUUAGGCCAUAGAAAUUAGCACAGCUCCAGACAGGUGCCUCAUAGCUGCCAUGGAGCCAAUUCCCUCAGCUGCCCCCUCCAUGUCAUCUUUUAUGUCAUAUGAAAUGGGUUUGGUACCAAAGCAACAUGUCUGUUACAGAGCUGUUUUUCCUGUGUUGAGAUUUCCCUGUGUGCUGUGGAGCAGACAUACAAAUAUCCAACAUCUUCAAGCUAUCAAUUACCCCCUUACUCUCUCUCUCAGAGGUCUCUUGGCUCCCAACAACACUCUCUGAGCAAUUAAGCAGCCCUUGCAACCACAUAUCAACACCCAAAACAGCCCAUUGCUGCAGUGAGCUGACCAGUGGCAGGCAGAAUGGAAGCUGAAAGGAUAUCCUGAGCAUGUGACGGGCUGGUGAUCGGAGAACUUUCCUUUUUGUUGGCAGUGUGGCUUUGAGAGAUCAAUGAUCAGCUCUAGGGUGUUGCAGAAACCAAAAAAAAAAGGCGUUUAAGGAAAUCAGCAGAGAUUUUACUCUGAACCCCCUUCUUGUCCUCAUUCUCCCUGUUUCUGUUGCCUUACAGAGGAUCUCUGUGUGCAUGAUGUUACCUGCACAACUAUUAAAUCACCGGAGCAAAGGACUCCCCAUCUUUCACGCUGGUAACACUGGGCUGCAACAGAGUUAACCACUAUGCAAAUGAAAUGAAACCCUGACCUGCAAAUCACUCUGCAGUGAGGAAACCAAAACUGCAACGGAAAUGAGCUGCUGUAGCAUAGGUGCAGCUGGCCAGUGCUGUAGCUUGUUCACGCAAACCUCUAGCUGCAAAAGCUGCCUCCCCUGUGGUGCUGAGGAAGCCUAAAGGAUCCAGCCUGGUGUAUCUGCUACUCCAGAGUUUUGCUUGAAUGCAGUUGCAGUGGCAUGAAUUAUUGAUAUCUCUGUUCAGGUUUGCUGUUCACGCAGGAAUUUGUAAUGCUUCCCCACCUUAUGCUGUGAAUGCGCUCCCGGGUCACAUAAAGGGUUGUGUUCAACACCC